GUAGGUGGCAAGCGUUGUCCGGAAUUAUUGGGCGUAAAGCGCGCGCAGGCGGUCCUUUAAGUCUGAUGUGAAAGCCCACGGCUCAACCGUGGAGGGUCAUUGGAAACUGGGGGACUUGAGUACAGAAGAGGAAAGCGGAAUUCCAAGUGUAGCGGUGAAAUGCGUAGAGAUUUGGAGGAACACCAGUGGCGAAGGCGGCUUUCUGGUCUGUAACUGACGCUGAGGCGCGAAAGCGUGGGGAGCAAACAGGGAUUAGAUACCCUGGUAGUCCACGCCGUAAACGACGAGUGCUAAGUGUUAGGGGGUUUCCCGCCCCCCUUAGUGCUGCAGCUAACCGCAUUAAGCACUCCGCCUGGGGUAGUACGGCCGCAAGGCUG
rnacentral:rRNA from 1 species